rnacentral:rRNA from 1 species
UACGUAGGGUGCAAGCGUUGUUCGGAAUUACUGGGCGUAAAGCGCGUGUAGGCGGUUGCCAAAGUCGGGUGUGAAAGCCUUGAGCUUAACUCAAGAAAUGCACUCGAUACUUGGUGACUAGAGGACCGGAGAGGAUAGUGGAAUUCCCAGUGUAGUGGUGAAAUACGUAGAUAUUCGCAAGAACACCAGUGGCGAAGGCGGCUCACUGGCCCGGUACUGACGCUGAGGUGCGAAAGCGUGGGGAGCAAACAGG